rnacentral:sRNA from 1 species
GCCGGGCACAGUGGAGCACACCUGUAAUCCCAGUGAUUUGGGAGGCUGAGACAGGAGAAUCACAAGUUUAAAGCAAGCCUCAGCAAGUAUGAGGUGCUAAGAAACUCAGUGAGCUCCUAUCUCUA